rnacentral:miRNA from 1 species
UGUGUAUUUAUAUGUGUGUGUGUGUGUGUGUGUAUACACACACACACACACACAAAAAUAAAUACACC